AGAAUCAACGCUGGCGGCGUGCCUAACACAUGCAAGUCGCACGAGAAAGGGGAGCAAUCCCUGAGUAAAGUGGCGCACGGGUGAGUAACACGUGACUUAUCUACCUCCGAGUGGGGAAUAACCUAGAGAAAUCUGGGCUAAUACCGCAUAACACUUACGAGUCAAAGCAGCAAUGCGCUUGGAGAGGAGGUCGCGGCCGAUUAGCUAGUUGCGGGGUAAUGGCCCACCAAGGCGAUGAUCGGUA
rnacentral:rRNA from 1 species